rnacentral:tRNA from 1 species
GGGCGGUUGGCGCAGUGGAAGCGCACUUGACUUACAUUCAAGGGGUCACAGGUUCAAAUCCUGUACCGCCCA